rnacentral:lncRNA from 1 species
CUCAGUUGUCUCUUCUUGAGGCUGAACAGGCCCAGCUCCCUCAGUCUUUUUUCUCGAGAGAGAUUCUCCAGUCCCUUGAUCAACUUUGUAGCUCCCUGCUGGACCCUGAUUGCUGCUGGAAUAACACAUUAGGCUGUUGGCAUGGUCUGGGGAGCAUAAUUGUGUUUGGACCAGGCUAAGCUUUGGCUGCAGCUGCUCCUUUUAAUCAAGUCUGUUACAUUUGGAUGCCAUGGCCGGCCAGAGCAUAAAUUCAUUAUUUCUGGCUGCACGGGUGCUGAUCUGUGAAGUGCUGCUGUGGCCUUUGAAGCUGCUUUUAAAGCAUAGACACUAAUAAAAGGCCACUGGAUAACUUAAUUCCCCAAAAGCCGGGACAUAUGUCUGUAGGGAAAUUAAAGUUCUGUAUCCCUGCUCCCCGAUUAAGGACAAUUAGUCCCUGUGCUAUCACAGCUUCUGAAAGAAGGGUCGGGGACACAACGGGAGAGGCACCUGGGGGUUCUGCUCAGGGAGUGUUCUGCCAGCUGUGACCUCCCUCCAUUGGUACCCAGGGAAAUAGUGCUGCGCUACAUAUGUAUUAAAGAAAAGCCGGGGAAAAUACUAUUCCAAACAUUACAAAAUUGUGUUACUGAGAAACUUAAACGCUAAAUAGAUUAGCAAAGUUAAUGUGCUUCUAGUUUUAUAGGUCUUUCUCUACAGGACAGUUGCACUGUGGAUUCUGUGAUGCUGCUGACCCACUCUGGCACCUGGUUCCCAUCAGCACUGACAGUCCUGGGCCAACACCCUCCUGAGGAAACCUGCAGUCCCUGCAGGAGUGAGACACAGGCACCACUCCACACUGCUAAUCUUCAGUUUAAAUAUAUGCAGAUGUUUCUUAGUUGUACUCAGACUGCUGUUUCUGUUGAGCUCUGAGUGGGGAAGACCAGGGGGCACCAGAAAGAAAGCUGGCUGAAGGAGAACAGCUCUCUUACUGAGGAGCCUGAUAACCUUACUUCUAUUUCACACGUGAGGAGACUCCAAGCUACCUUGCUUAUGAGGCAGAGUGCAUGUAAGUACAAACCUGUCAUGGCAUUGAUUUGUCAAAUAUCAGUCUGACAGUUCUGCUUACUCUGCAUUUUCCUCCCUCCCGCUGCUCUCUGUGUAUCUUUAGGACACAAACCACGUCUCCUUUCCGACUGGAUAGUGCUUAUCCCUCUUGAUCAUUGCUUUGGACGUGGCAGGAGCUGAUGAUACUGCUUGAGACAAGCCAUACAACUACAUUUGUAGUGACUUUUGUGUUGGAAGGGAUUUGCUGUUCUGCUUGAAGGAACAGUAGCAGUGAACCUGCUGACAUGGAUGGAGGUAGAUGGAUGUGGGAAUCCCUAGGACUGCUGCUCCUCUUUACAGCACAAACCUGGGUCAUCCAAGCGCAAAAACAAGGAAAAACUGGCGAACGAGGUGAACAAGCAAAGGAAUCUAGGUCUACCUUGACAACAGGAUGUUAAAUUAAUUUUCUUGAUAUAAAUGACCAAGGGGUACAUGUAUUGAAACCUAUUUGGCAUCCAGAACUUCCCCUUGCUUGAACUGCAGCACUGCUUGUGCAAGGCACACAGGAUCAGACCGACAAUGCCGAGCUCGGAUUAUAGUAUUACAGUUGUAUUCAUGGCUAAGAACCCAGUGUAAUACUCUGAACAACUCCUUCUCUGCUGAGCAGAGGGCAGCUGCAAGAGUCAAUAUCGUCUUGUCUUUUGUAUUUUAAUUAUAUUCUCCUCAGCAACAAAAUCACUGUAAGGAAGAGAGAAAGUGUAUUCUGUCUUUUACAUAAUGAUGCGACUAAAAAAAGGUCAACUGGUUGGUGAAUACUAAUGAGGGUAUCUAAAAUGGGUUGUGUUCACUGUGCUCAAAAGCAGAUAAAUACAAACAUUGAUUGUCUUCUUUUAACGUUUAUUAAAAACCAAAGAUGCUUUUGUUAGUAUGGCAAAUGCAAAAGUACUGUAGGAAAAAUGUAAUAGCUUUUAGGAAUGCAAGAUAAUGUCAGAGGGAUAAUAGUCUUUAAUGUAUAUCUCAGGUGAUACAUUUAACCCAUUAAAUCUCUUGUUAUGCAGGAUAGUUCCCACCAUCAUGAAACACAGAGAGCUCCUCUGCUGCUCUUGUUCUGUAUUAGUAUUUUGACAAGAUGCCAGAAGGCAAAAAGCUCCUGAGAACUGUUUGAAAAUAGAGCAAAAGAAUGGAAGUUGCUAAGAAAAAAGAAUUAAAUUAUCAAUGUCUCCUGAAAGCAUGAAUAUAAAUAUUUUAAAUGCAUUUAAAGCACUUGAAUUUAGGUUGAAAUUAUCUUUAAGUAUUUUUUUUCUAAUAUGCACCAAACCACUUUAUCUAAAAACCCCAAAUAUUGAUAUGAUUGCAAUAAUGAAAAUAUGAUAAACCACCCCUUCAUUUCAAGCAAUGAGAUUGUAGAUAGAAGGAGCUGUCACUGUGGUGGUUAUUAGUGGAUUUGUAUCUUCCUGGAGGAAAGCUCGGCUGAAUUUGCAGUCAGGGGAAGUGUUACCAUGAACUUUGCAGUAGCACCCAAAGCAGAACGAGCAGAGGGUGUGGAGCGGCAAGGACCUUGUGGGAAGGAGUGGAGGGAUGCACAGAGUCCCUGCUGAGCUAAUUGGGGGUGGCUUCCAGUGGUUGAAACGUGUGUGACUGCUGGAUGUAAAGACUGAAACCUCCCCCCAGCUCUGACUUUGCCAAACUCCUGUCCCACAGUAGGGAACACUUCACUGUCACUGCAGAUCUUCCUUCACCGUGGGAUUCACAGCAGGUUUCAUACAAACCUCUAGAGAAAUACCUACAAAUACCCAACCUGGCUUUGAUUUUAAUAAUUGUAAUUAAACAAGCAAGGUGAACAGGGCACAUAUAUCAAAACAGGGGGAAAGUAAAAAGGGGGGGAGGGGGGGAAGCGCCUUUUGUUUCUCUAGAACAUCUGGGCAAAAAGCCAGGCUCCACCAAAGUCAUUGGCAAAACUCCCAUUAACUUCAGUUGGGCAAAGCUUUCACUCCUGACCCCAGCAAAACUAACUGUAGGAAAAGGUGGCUAGUUCCUUAUUUAAGUUUUUGCAUUUCAUUUGGCUUACAAUCCAAGAAGAAAAAUGGCAGAACCAAAUAAACUGCUUUUGAACUGGUGUUUGGACGCA